GUCGAACGCGUCUUGGUUAUUGAUGUUAAGUGCUUGCAUUUAACUGAUUUAACAUUGAGACGAGUGGCGAACUGGUGAGUAACACGUGGGUAACCUGCCCUUGAAGUAGGGGAUAACACUUGGAAACAGGUGCUAAUACCGUAUAACAACCAAAACCACCUGGUUUUGGUUUAAAAGAUGGCUUCGGCUAUCACUUUAGGAUGGACCCGCGGCGUAUUAGCUUGUUGGUAAGGUAACGGCCUACCAAGGCAAUGAUACGUAGCCGACCUGAGAGGGUAAUCGGCCACAUUGGGACUGAGACACGGCCCAAACUCCUACGGGAGGCAGCAGUAGGGAAUCUUCCACAAUGGACGAAAGUCUGAUGGAGCAACGCCGCGUGAGUGAUGAAGGGUUUCGGCUCGUAAAACUCUGUUGUUGGAGAAGAACAGGUGUGAGAGUAACUGUUCACAUCUUGACGGUAUCCAACCAGAAAGCCACGGCUAACUACGUGCCAGCAGCCGCGGUAAUACGUAGGUGGCAAGCGUUGUCCGGAUUUAUUGGGCGUAAAGCGAGCGCAGGCGGUUUCUUAGGUCUGAUGUGAAAGCCUUCGGCUUAACCGGAGAAGUGCAUCGGAAACCAGGAGACUUGAGUGCAGAAGAGGACAGUGGAACUCCAUGUGUAGCGGUGAAAUGCGUAGAUAUAUGGAAGAACACCAGUGGCGAAGGCGGCUGUCUGGUCUGUAACUGACGCUGAGGCUCGAA
rnacentral:rRNA from 2 species